UACUAGCUGCGGGUCCACUUGAUGAAUAUGCGAAUCGAUCCCUCCAGCAGUAAUAAUCAUAUUUUCACCAGCAAUAACCUCAGUGGAAGGUCCUACAAUUAAGUUUGGAUGAAUGCCAUCCAUAUAAUCUGGGUUGCCCGCGUGACCAAUUCCGUAAAUUUUUCCAUCUUUAAUUCCGAUAUCUGCUUUAAUAAUUCCCCAAUAGUCUAAUAUAAGGACGUUAGUAAUGACUAAAUCAAGAGCACUCUCUCUUGUUGCAUGGGGAGCCAUUCCCAUCCCAUCGCGUA
rnacentral:sRNA from 1 species